rnacentral:ncRNA from 1 species
UCUCUAAAGAUUUCCUCAGGAUAGGAGGAGCUCUUAAGAGAUACCCAAUUUAAUGUAACAAAGCAAACAAUUACAGAUCUUGAGGCCAAAUUGAUCUCAAACUAUUCUCAAACUUUAAAUGGUUGAAAAAAAAUCUUAAAUUAUUGGCAAAGAGCCAGAACUAUAUAAUUAAACUGGCACUUUAAAAUGAUCCAAAUGCCAGGUUACAGCUUUAAAUGCUGAAGAUUAUCAGACCUCAGUAAAUGCUGAAGAUUAUCAGGAACAGAGACUAUGAAUGCCACAAUCUACUAAGGAGUGAUAAUAAGUUUCCUAACCUAUCAACUAGCUUUGAAAAUACAUGGCAUGCUGGGCGUGGUGGCUCAUCCCUGUAAUCCCAGCACUCAGGAGGCUGAGGCAGGAGA